AUGAUGGAUACGGCUGUGGAGGUUUCCCGACGGGUCCGUCCCGAGAAGAAACUAUGCGCUGAUGCCGAUGGCGAGACACGCCAGUGUCCCCGGACAACAACGGCGGCCGUGGACCCUGUCUCCAAGGUGCUUGGGGACGACAAUCUCCUCGGGGAGAUCCUCCUGCGCGUCGGCUUCCCCACCACACUCGUCCGUGCCACCCUCGUGCGCAGGGGCUGGUACCAGCUCGCCUCGGACCGGGGUUUCCUCUGCCGGUUCCGUGAGCUCCACCCGCCCCGCCUACUUGGCUUUUACAUCGACACCGGGUUGGUCUGGCCGAAGUCGAUGGCCGUCCUGCGCUUCGUCCCGAUGCUUCCCCAGCCCCCAGAGUUUGCCGCUGUUGUCCGCCGCAUGGCGAGCCACAACUUCGGUACCCGCGAGGUGCCAUGGAUCAUGGACUCCCGAAACGGCAGCAUCUUCACCAGACAUCGUGAAAGAAGAGAACUAUCAUAUGGAGUGUACCACCCGCUUUGUCCUGAGAGAGGCAUUGACGACAUCCCACCACUCCCAAGUGCCCAGGAUCGCAAUCGCCUAAAUUUUGGUGCUAUUCUCUCGAAAGAAGAAGGCAAUGGCUUGUCCUACUUUUAUGUGUUGACGGAGUUGACUAAUCAGACAGAAAAUUUCACUUUACGCGUGUAUAUGUUACAAGGCAGUGUUUGGUGCUUGCAUACCUCGGCCACGGCCCAGCUCCAUCUUCCGCUACCCAAAGCAAAAGUUGUGCUUGUCGACAAUAAAAUCUAUAUGGUGGUCUCCCCCGCAGACGACAUUAUUGUCUUGGAUUUGACAGCCUCAAGUUUGUCUAGAAUCCAGCACCCACCUGGAGUGAAGUAUGACUGUUUUCACACCUUCUUGUCAUGGGCAGAUGAUCCUUCCGGUGUAUAUGUCAUCCAUGUCAAUGGCUUUAAACUUUGCAUCUGGCUCCACAAGGGGGACAACUGGUUGCUGGUUGAUACCAUUUGUCUGCAUGAGAUGUGUGUUAAUCUGAGGAUGCUAGAUAACAUGCUUGAGGAUGAGCAUUCUGGUCAUUGCUAUGUAUGCCAUGCUGGGGAUAAUGCUGAGUUUGUGGUUUUGCAAAUGUGUGGAUGUGUUUUCUAUCUGAUGUCAAGAACAGGACACUCCGUAAAUUGGUUGCGAAGGAUCAAGAUCACUUCACUGAUGUCUAUCCGUUUAUGA
rnacentral:rRNA from 1 species